UACAGAGGGUGCAAGCGUUAAUCGGAAUUACUGGGCGUAAAGCGCGCGUAGGUGGUUCGUUAAGUUGGAUGUGAAAGCCCCGGGCUCAACCUGGGAACUGCAUUCAAAACUGACGAGCUUGAGUAUGGAAGAGGGUCGCGGAAUUCCCGGUGUAGAGGUGAAAUUCGUAGAUAUCGGGAAGAACAUCGGUGGCGAAGGCGGCCUGCUGGGCUGUUGCUGACGCUGAGGCGCGACAGCGUGGGGAGCAAACAGG
rnacentral:rRNA from 1 species